rnacentral:rRNA from 1 species
UACAGAGGGGGCAAGCGUUGUUCGGAAUUACUGGGCGUAAAGGGCUCGUAGGCGGCCAACUAAGUCAGACGUGAAAUCCCUAGGCUCAACCUAGGAACUGCGUCUGAUACUGGAUGGCUUGAAUCCGGGAGAGGGAUGCAGAAUUCCAGGUGUAGCGGUGAAAUGCGUAGAUAUCUGGAGGAAUACCGGUGGCGAAGGCGGCAUCCUGGACCGGCAUUGACGCUGAGGAGCGAAAGCUAGGGGAGCAAACGGG